GGGGGAGGGAGGAAGGAAAGAACAAGGGAGGGAGUAAGAAAGAGAGAACAUUUUGUGUUUCCAUAUACUCACCAGAGCAGAGUCAAAUUCCUAGUGCCUACCCGUCCCCCCAAGGAAGGAUUUUAGCAAACAGGCAAUUCUACUGGUCUCCUCCCAGGGGCCUAGCAAUGGCUUAUGUCAUCAUCUGCCAUCACCUGGCCCUGCUGUGCCAGGUGUGGGCUGUGUAAAAAAGGACUGCCCACCACCCCAGCUCUCGCUCUCUGUUCCCAGCAGUCUGCUCCUGUCAAUAUGUCUGUCUCCAUGUCCACUAGUCUACCUACUAGUCUACCC
rnacentral:lncRNA from 1 species